rnacentral:rRNA from 1 species
AUUGAGCGCUGGCGGCAUGCUUUACACAUGCAGGUCGAACGGUAACAGGCCUUCGGGUGCUGACGAGUGGCGAACGGGUGAGUAAUGCAUCGGAACGUACCCAGAGGUGGGGGAUAACGCAGCGAAAGCUGUGCUAAUACCGCAUGUGAUCUGAGGAUGAAAGCGGGGGACCGAGCAGCAAUGUUUGGCCUCGCGCCUUUGGAGCGGCCGAUGUCGGAUUAGCUAGUUGGUGGGGUAAAGGCCUACCAAGGCGACGAUCCGUAGCUGGUCUGAGAGGACGACCAGCCACACUGGGACUGAGACACGGCCCAGACUCCUACGGGAGGCAGCAGUGGGGAAUUUUGGACAAUGGGCGCAAGCCUGAUCCAGCAAUGCCGCGUGCGGGAAGAAGGCCUUCGGGUUGUAAACCGCUUUUGGCAGGAACGAAACGGUGUCCGCUAAUACCGGGCGCUAAUGACGGUACCUGCAGAAUAAGCACCGGCUAACUACGUG